GUUUCCGUAGGUGAACCUGCGGAGGGAUCAUUACUGAGCGAGGGCCUACGGGCUCGACCUUCAACCCUUUGUGAACACAACUUGUUGCUUCGGGGGCGACCCUGCCGUUUCGACGGCGAGCGCCCCCGGAGGCCUUCAAACACUGCAUCUUUGCGUCGGAGUUUAAGUAAAUUAAACAAAACUUUCAACAACGGAUCUCUUGGUUCUGGCAUCGAUGAAGAACGCAGCGAAAUGCGAUAAGUAAUGUGAAUUGCAGAAUUCAGUGAAUCAUCGAAUCUUUGAACGCACAUUGCGCCCCUUGGUAUUCCGAGGGGCAUGCCUGUUCGAGCGUCAUUUCACCACUCUAGCCUCGCUUGGUAUUGGGCGCCGCGGUGUUCCGCGCGCCUCAAAGUCUCCGGCUGAGCUGCCCGUCUCUAAGCGUUGUGAUUUCAUUAAUCGCUUCGGAGCGCGGGCGGUCGCGGCCGUUAAAUCUUUCACAAGGUUGACCUCGGAUCAGGUAGGGAUACCCGCUGAACUUAAGCAUAU
rnacentral:rRNA from 1 species